UAGUAGUUAUAUAUCAAUUAAAAAUAUUAAAUUUACAUCAUACUGAAUUAAUUAAAUUGAAUCUGAAUCCAAUCUAAUCCACUCAAAGAAAGGAGAUGGAGACAGAAGGAAAAUUAGUUGGUGAAAGUGUGGUCUAAUAAUAAGAUUUGGAGGGAAAAAAUGUAUCAUGGCGGGAUAACUUAUUGGCGCAAUUUUUCAGAGGUCCAAUCUGGUCUGUAUGUCAGUGUCAGAAUCUGAGUGGUAGAUAAUUUUUUUAACUUCCUGAUCCCAGUCAGAUAACCAUAAACAUAGUUGUCAUUUCAAAAAAUAAAAUAAAACAAAAUACCAUAAACUUUUUUUCUAUUUUAAAUUUCUACCCGUUUUCUUACAUAAAGACAGUGUGGUUCGUAUACUUUCAGUUAAAAAAGUAUGGUAAAAAGUGCAUAUUACUUGUAUUUCAGAAUAAUCAUUCACUGUAUACUAUAAUAUUACUGUUCCUUUAAUUGUUUUUAUUAAUAAAUCAUACAUUGAUUAACUACUUAAACAUACAAAGCUAAGCAACAAUUUCAUUUAAUUUAUCAAUUACCUGUUUAUAUUAUUUAAUAUAGUUAGUCCUCAACAUGUUUUUUUUUUCUAAUUGAGAUGGUGGUAUUAUCCAACAUUUUGAUGGGGAAAGAAGCCAGUAAUCCACAUCCAAUUAGGGGAGAAAAACAUUCUUUAACAGAGUAUUGUAAAUAUCCUGCCUUAACCUAUAAAUUCUAAAGGCUAAAAUUUUGAUCCAGAGAUGAAAUUAAACACUGAACUCGAAAUAACAUGAAAUGGAACAUGUCACUACGUCCAAACAACAACUAUCUUCAAUUUCUCCCCUCUUGGGAUGGGAUUUUAUCUUUUGAUUCUAUGCAUGUGUAGAAAACUAAAAAAAUGAAAAAGAAAAGUAUUAGUAAUACCCAAGCCCUUUAAUUUUUUUUCUCCGGUUUAUGCCUGAACUAUGCACAUAACUGACCUGUUCGAAACCGGCUUCAUUAUUUAUAAAGGCUUAUUCCUGCCUCUCAAUUUAUUCAGGUUUUCGACAUGUAAUGAUCGCAAACUUAAUGAGACCCUUCUUGUAUCCUUCUAUCAUCAAUGGCAUGGCCAAAGCUCCUUUUAUCGUUUUUUGUC
rnacentral:lncRNA from 1 species